rnacentral:rRNA from 1 species
GACGAACGCUGGCGGCGUGCUUAACACAUGCAAGUCGAGCGGAAAGGCUCCUUCGGGGGUACUCGAGCGGCGAACGGGUGAGUAACACGUGAGUAAUCUGCCCUUGGCUUCGGGAUAGCCACCGGAAACGGUGAUUAAUACCGGAUAUGACAACUUCUCGCAUGGGAUGGUUGUGGAAAGUUUUUCGGCCAGGGAUGUGCUCGCGGCCUAUCAGCUUGAUGGUGAGGUAAUGGCUCACCAUGGCUUCGACGGGUAGCCGGUCUGAGAGGACGGCCGGCCACACGGGGACUGGGACACGGCCCCGACUCCUACGGGAGGCAGCAGCAAGGAAUAUUGGGCAAUGGCCGAGAGGCUGACCCAGCGACGCCGCGGGGGGGAUGACGGCUUUCGGGUUGUAGACCCCUUUUCCCAAGGACGAAACUGACGGUACUUGGGGAAGAAGCCCCGGCUAACUACGUGCCAGCAGCCGCGGUAAAAC